rnacentral:lncRNA from 1 species
AAAUAAACAAUGCUUGAAUACUUUGAGAUAACAACUCACAAUUCAAAACUGAACCAGGAAAGAAAGAAAGAAUCAGGCAAUGCUUUAAAACAAACAUAGAUUUUAUUGAAGACGACAAAUUGAAUCACAUCAUAACAUAUAACAUAAAUGUAAAACCAAACGGAAAAUGUGUUGCUGCAGAUCGAUCCAAGUUAAACGCAAGGGUCACCGCUCAUCACCAGUUUCUAUUGCCACAACCGUUUGCUUUACAGGGGCUCUAUCAACCGACAAUACAAGAUGCCGACGCUUCGUCCCUGUCACGUUGGCCUUCCUCGGAGUGCAUUCCGCAUCUGUGUUCCACUAUUUCAAUAUGCUAGUUCUAUUUGUCGACGAUGAAGGUCCGCGUUUUGACGGAGACGAGUAAGGAAAUAGAUCGCGAUUGAGAUGGCGGAGAGGGUUGACGAACGGAGAGUGGAGCUGGUGAUUGUUUAUGGAUGAUUCGGCGGUGAUUGUAGAUCUGGCCGAGGGUUAUUAGGAUAAUGAUGAUGGAAGUGGGUUAAGAGGAUUCGUCGGCGAGGCGGAGGGUUAAAGGUUUAGCGGUGGUUGAAGAUUUAUGUGGUGGUCGACUAGAUCAGUGGUGGAUUUGUGAACGGAAGAUGGAGGAUGAUGGAGGGUGAAUGACGGUGGUUCCUGGGGUUCGUCGGCGGAUUGCGCUUUGUUUUUUGUUGUUGGUGAGCGGUGGAAUCGAAGCUUGGAGUGAGUGGAAUGGGGUUUUCCGGCAAGAUCGGUGGUAGUUGAGUUUAGCGAUGGAGGUGUCGUGUGGGUUAACGGCAAUGGAGGUUGUGCAUUUGAAGAUGGGUUGAGAUGGUGGUAAAUGGUGGUGGUUAUGAGAGAGGAAGAAGGAUUUUUAUUUGUUUUAUCUUUUUCAGAGAGAGAGAGAUGAGAUUUGUGAGGAAUUGAAAGAGUGGAGGUAGCGUGAGGGAGUUUGAGAAUUCUGUUGUGAGAUUCUCUUAUUAGAGUGUGAGGAGUUUGUUAGAGGGCGCGUGGGGAGAGUGAAGAAAGAUUUUUAUUAUUAUAUUUUCUUUACUAAAUAAUCUAGAAAGAUCCUUUUAGUGGCAGUUGGGAAUGGAAGAGCUGUCAACUUGCAAGACAAAAAGAAUCCAAUGCUAUCUAUAUACAUUUAUUUGAAAUCUGAAAAUUAUAAAGUAUUUAACAAUUAUAUUAAAAAUAGAAUCAAUUCACCAAAAUAAAUUCAAACUAAUUACGUAAUAAAUUCUAAUUUAUUCCAAUGAUAUCUUGAUUAAGAAAAUAAAAGUCGGGAACAAAUAUUCUCGAAAAAUUAAAUUGGACAAGCUAAAAUGAUCAGCACAAAAUAUAUUUAUUGAAAAAAUACAGCGUUUUCUUCAAAUUUUAAUGAUUCAACCGAUUUGUCUGUAUUCUCAAAUAAAUUCAUUCUGACUGACAUUUUAGGUACUAUUCAUGAUGGAAUGUAUGUCAUGCUAUGCAUAUGAUGCAAAAAUAAAAAUGAAAUCAAUUCUGUGAAAAUUUAAAUAUGCCCGGACAAAAUUGGGGUAUGACAGUCCCUACCCUGCAACAAGUAAAGUCUUGGUUGGGGAAAUGCUUUUCUAUGAAGGACCUAGGUGAAGCAGCCUAUAUUUUAGGAAUUAAAAUCUAUAGAGAUAGAUCACAAAAACUGCUUGGCCUAAGUCAGAGUACAUACAUAGACAAAGUGCUGAGACGCUUUAAUAUGCAUGAUUCCAAGAAAGGAUUCAUACCUAUGCAACAUGGCCUGUGUCUAUCAAAAACACAAUCCCCUUCAACUAAGGAAGAAAGGGAUCGCAUGAAUAAGAUUCCAUAUGCAUCUGCAAUAGGAUCUAUCAUAUAUGCCAUGUUAUGUACUCGACCAGAUGUCUCGUAUGCUUUAAGUGCAACGAGUAGGUACCAAUCUGAUCGUGGUGAUGCCCAUUGGCUAGCUGUCAAGAAUAUCCUUAAUUACUUGAGAAGGACUAAGGACUCAUUCUUGAUAUAUGGAGGUCAGGAAGAGUUAGCUGUAUUUGGAUACACUCAUUCUAGCUUCCAGACAGAUAAGGAUGACUUUAGAUCACAAUCUAGUUAUGUGUUUUGCUUAAACGGUGGCGAUGUGAGCUGGAAAAGUUCAAAGCAAGAUACAGUUGUUGAUUCUACAAUCGAGGCCGAGUAUAUUGUUUCCUCAAGUGAAGCAAAGGAAGUUGUUUGGAUCGAAAAGUUCAUUAGUGAACUUGAAAUAGUUCCUAGCAUUGUGGGUCCCAUUGGUCUCUAUUGUGAUAACAAUGGUGCUACCGCACAAGCUAAGGAGCCUAGAUCUCACCAACGAUCCAAAUACAUACUCAGGCGUUAUCACCUCAUUCGAGAGAUAAUAGAUAGAGGAGAUGUGAAAAUAUGUAGAGUACCUACACUUGACAAUAUUGCUGACCCACUGACAAAGCCUCUUGCGCAGCAGCCAUACUAGAUCAAUGGCAUUAGGGGUAUGCCUGAUUGGCUCUUAGUGCUAGUGGGAGAUUGUUGGUGUAGCCUAGAGGCAAUACUUUUGGUACUUGUAUCGAAUAUUUAUUAAUUAAUAAAAGGCUUUUUCUUUAUUAUGUUUGAUUAAUAAAGUCCCUAGAAUAGCUAGUCCGUUUAAUGUAUCAAGUAUGACUUAAUCAUGAGAUCACAUUAAACAUAAGGACAUUAUUCUAUCCGUAGUCGAGCUUUAUUGUGAAGUGGGAUAACAUUAAAGCAUUAAGACUAUUAUGUUUGUAGAUCGAUGAUCACAUCUCAUGGAUCAUGGAUAAAGAGUUAUCAAGUCUUAAACAUAGGUAUGAAUAUUAAGAGUAAUAUUUAUACCACAUUGACCCGCUAUGAGAAUACUAUAUAGAAAGUUAUGCAAAGUUUCAUAAGUUACUCUCAUGGUGAUAAUGGUGUAUACCACUCUUCAACCUGAAACCACUAUGGAUCCUAGAUGUAGAGUCGAGUGCUUUAUUGCUGAUCCAACGUUGUCCGUAAUUGGAUAACCAUAAAGACAGUUGAUGGGUAUUCCACGAAGCAUGGUGAGGGACAUGAGUGACCUAGAUGGAAUUUGCCCAUCCUACGUAACAGGAUAAAUGUCUACGGGCCCAAUAUUGAACUGGACAAGGAUGACACGGUCUAUACCUUGUGUUCAAUAUAGACAUAAGGGCAAAGGGGUAAUUAUAUACAUAAUUAUUAUCACAGGAGGUUUUGUCAGAUCACAUGACAUUGUAGCAGAGAUGUUGUGGCUAAUACCGCUCCACUUAAGUUUAUUCAUGUUAAAUGCGAUUUAAUAUAAGUGCCACCGUCGCGAAAACCUACAGGGUCAACACAAAGGUACGGUGUACUUAAGUAGAAUACGAAAUAUGGUAAGGUACCAAAUACUUAAGUGAUUUUGGUAUAUUAUGAGAUAUGGGCCAAAAUACACUUAAGUGGGCUUUUAGCUUGAAGCCCACACAAGUGGUUCUAUAAAUAGAACACUUGGGUAGAAGCAUUGAGACUCAGACUAAGACUCAAGUGAAGACUUGGAAUUUCGUUUCUCUCUCUCUCUCUCACUCAAAGCCUUCAUUCAUAGCAGCUAGCACUGAGAUUGAAGGAAUCCGUUCGUGUGGACUGAGUAGAGACGUUGUCAUCGUUCGACGUUCAUGAUCGCUCCGUGGAUUUGUAUCCAAGAUUUUGAUCGUUACAAGAGAUAUGCACCAAAGGUUUGAAUCUCCACAAGAGGUAACGAUUCUAUCACUGAUCAUGCCCAUUCGUAAGGAUCACUAAAUGGAGGAAUUUUUAAAUUCCGCUGCGCCUUGGAUGGCAAUUCUCCUUCAGCUGCAACGGCUCACUUUGUGUCAUCUAUGCCAGCCGGGUUCCCUUGGGGAAUGCCUGCCAACUUUGUACCCGAGGGUUUUGCUCCAACUCUCGCUUCUCUGCCGGCAUCUAGGCCGGUCCUUUCUGUGCCACCUCCCGUUGUGCACACCUUACCUAGAGUGGAAGACACCAUCUAUCAUUCUGAGCCACCUGAGGGCCCAAAUGUUUAUGAAAAGAUGGACGAGAUGAAAGACCAAUUCCUUGAGCUGCGCAAGGAACUGAAGACUCUGAGGGGUAAGGACCUCUUUGGUAAAAGUGUUGAUGAGUUGUGCCUUGUGCCCAAUGUUAGGAUCCCGAUUAAAUUCAAAGUGCCUGACUUUGAGAAAUAUAAGGGAAACACCUGCCCUCUUAGCCAUCUUGUGAUGUAUGCUCGCAAUAUGUCAACGCAAACAGACAACGAUCAACUUCUUAUCCACUUCUUCCAGGACAGUCUGUCUAGUGCUGCUCUCCGAUGGUACAUGGGUCUGGAGAGUGUAAACAUCCUCUCCUUCAACGAUCUUGGCGAGGCCUUUGUCAAACAAUACAAAUACAAUGUGGAUAUGACUCCCGAUAGGGACCAGUUAAGGGCGAUGUCCUAGAAAGAGAAAGAGACUUUCAAAGAGUACGCCCAGAGAUGGCGCGAGUUGGCAGCUCAGAUAGUGCCACCCCUUGAAGAGAAAGAAAUGACAAAGAUCUUUUUGAAGACUUUAAGUUAUUUCUACUAUGAGAGGAUGAUUGCCAGUGCUCCCUCGGACUUCACCGAAAUGGUGAAUAUGGGAAUGAGACUGGAAGAAGGAGUCCGUGAAGGACGUCUAUCCAAGGAUGAAGGCUCUUCAGCAAAGAGAUAUGGGAGCUUUGCGAAGAAGAAGGAGGGAGAGGCACAUGUUGUGUCCUCCCAUAUCAAGAGAAGACCCUCUGUGAAGAGGAAGAAUGUGCGUCUUGCCGUUAGCCAACACCAGGUGGCUCAUAUAGCACCUGCCUUUAGAGAAGUUCAACAUCAUCAAUAAUAAUAACAACAACAAUAUCAACAACAACAUCGUCCACAACAACAGGCCUACCAGCCUCGAAACAACAAUAACACCAGCACCAGCUACGAUAGGAAGAGGGUCACUUUUGAUCCAAUUCCAAUGACUUAUGCUGAACUUUAUCCUUCUCUGAUCGAUAGAAAGUUGAUUACUCCACGAGACCCUCCCGCUAUACCUACCAACCCUCAGUGGUGGUAUAAGCCUGAACUACACUAUGUAUAUCAUUUCGGUGCUCCUGGACAUGAUGUGGAGAAUUGUUAUCCCUUGAAGACCAAGGUGCAAGACCUUGUGAGAAGUGGAUUUUUUUUUCCGAGGACGUAGGUCCUAAUGUG